CCUUGGUUAGUCGCCGACCCUGAAUGUCUAAUUUCCUUGUUCUGUACGUGUGAACGUGGCCUUCUUGAACUGCAAUCGAACUGAGAAUGUUUUUCGACAUUGCAUUCACAUUCAAUUUCGAUUGGUGCAAAUGCAACCCACAGUACUGCAGUGUAGGCUACUUACCUGAAAGAAGUCAACAUUGUGCACAAAGAGAUAAGCUUGUUUCAUGUCUCAUCCCAACCAAGAUGGUGCAGUAAGGUACUCAAGAAGCAAGUGAACCAGAAGAAAACUGUCAAGAGGACUACUAUACACCAACAAAUUAUCUGCUUCUCUCUCCGCAAUGGACUUAAUACUUGCUGGAUGAACAUGACGAAUCCCCCACUUGCCAGGCAUUCACCAGGCUGUCUGAAGUCCCCACCUGCUCUCCAUCCCUAGAUGAUGAUAUCGCAAUCGGCUGAUUUCCUUUUCAUAUUUUACCUAGAGAAAUCAUGGAUCAAGGGUCGUGCAUGGAUUAGAUAAGAGGAGAAAAAGAGACACUCAUACAGCAAACAACCACAUGAAGCCCCAGCAUGCCUCCUCCAACACCUGCAGCUCCUACACUAGAGGGUGCAGCAAGCCCAUCAGUAACCCCUCCUUAAGUAAUCGCUCAGAACCCUCCCCGCUUCGCUCAGAUGUAGCUUUUCAGAUUUUUCAGGAAUGGUGACGAGAAUGGGAUGAUACUUAGUCAUGGUGGAUAUGCCCAAGUUACCCAGAGAGAAACAAUUAAUCCAGAUAAUGUGUUAUGCCUUGAAGACAUAAAGGAUUCUAGACAUACAUCUAGAUACUGGAAUAAAUGUCAACAAAUUCUUGGAUGCCCUUGAAGAACACGUAAAGAACCUUCACAACGAGAAUCUACAUCGUAGAGAGCUGCUUACCUGCAAACAGUAUGAGAAUUUUUCACUUUUGCAAAAGAACAUUGCAGAAGUAGAAGUCUGUACUGGUAGAUCUUAAUUUUGUGAGCAUACCCAGAUGAUCAUCCUCAUGGAAGUCAGGAAUAAAGAACUGACUGAGAAACUCAGCUCUCAACACCGCCUCUCUACAGGAUUUUAUUAGCACGUCACACCUAUAACUUCACGAGGAAGGCCACUUCUGCAAUUUGUUCUUUGCCCUCUUAAAUUACAGAAAGCAGAAGAAACAUGUAAAAGGUGCCACACCCUCUGACAGGGAUGUCACGACAAGUGCUGCAGGAAAACCAGGGAUGCCAAACAGGGUGAAACCUCCAGUGCCAAGCCUACAACACUUUCUCUGGGCCAGAACCUCAGCUUUCGUCACAUUGGAAGACCCUCUUCUAUUAAGACGCCUCAACCAAUCUGUUUCCCUCUCGUAUGGUGAUGUCACAUCCAGGAUUCAGAUGUUGCAAGACACAAGUGCCAACAUCUCUGUUGUGGGCCCUCAGCAUCUUGACUUUGCAUAGUCCUAGGAGUGCACUACAACCCCCACCAGUCACCCUGAUGUUUACUGCAGAUAGCUCUAUGAUGACACCUGCCUUAGGAUCUGUCAUAGCCACUCUCACCUUAGCCAAGAGAUCCUGUUCAGCGAUGAAGUCCAUGACGGCAUUCAAAUACCACUGCUGUCAUACAGCCACUGCAAGGAGUUGUCCAUUAUACAGCCAAAGUUCCCCAGAUCUGUACUGGAUAUUAAUCAUGUCAAUAGGUGUUCAGAGCUGCCUCUGCAUGCCACCACCUCACUUGACGAACCAGAAGAAAACUAACAAGAGGACUACCAUACACCAACAAGUUAUCCGCUUCUCUCUCCUCAAUGGACUUUAUUUGCUAGUAAGUACAGCGUAUCAAAUGUGUAAGUGGUGCUAACGAACAAACUAGUGCCAGUAUUUCACGCACUACACUCGAGUAUUUGUGUUAAAUUCUGUUUUAAGCCUGUGAAGUAGGGGGAAGGAGGUUAAACAGAACCUUGUUCCCAAUGAAUAUUUUACCACUGGACUUAAAAUACUGUGGGGGUAAACCGAACAUUUUUCACAAUGGAUUCUCCACUUUCUCAGGAUGAACAUGACAACAUCCCACUCGCCCUGCAUUCACCAGACUGUCUACAGUCCCCACCUGCUCUCUAUGCCCAGAUGAUGACAUCCCAAUCAGCUGAUUUCCUUUUAUUCAUAUUUUACCCAGAGAAAUUACGGAUCGAGGGUCAUGCCAGGCUCAGACAAGAGGAGGAAAGGAGACAAAAAGAAAAGGAGAGGACGAAAAAAGGAAGAAUUACGGUUUAACGACAGAAAGGACGACAAAAUUCGCAACAGGAAGCCGACCGCUACAGCACCUUUCUGUAAAUGCUAGCCCUUUAGUACAGCAAGCUACCACAGGAAGCCCCAGCCUGCCUCCUGGAGUGCCUACCUUGCCACCAGAGAGUGCAGCGACCCCGUCAGUACCCCUCCUUAAUAAGCAAUCUCUCAGAACCCACCCCCAUUCGCUCAGAUGUAGCUUUUCUGAUUUUUCAGGAAUGGCGACGACAAUGGGAUGAUAUUUAGUGCUGGUGGAUCUGCCCAAGUU